rnacentral:tRNA from 1 species
AUUUAUAUAGUUUAAUAAAAACUUUAUGCUUUCAUUAUAACAAUGGGUUAAACCCUAUAAAUA